GACGAACGCUGGCGGCGUGCCUAAUACAUGCAAGUCGAACGCAGUGGGGACGGGUGAGUAACACGUGGGUAACCUCCCAUCAGAGGGGAUAACACUUGGAAACAGGUGCUAAACCGCUACUGAUGGAUGGACCCGCGGUGCAUUAGCCAGUUGGUGGGGUAACGGCUCACCAAGGCCACGAGGCAUAGCCGACCUGGGAGGGUGAUCGGCCACACUGAGACUGAGACACGGCCCAGACUCCUACGGGAGGCAGCAGUAGGGAAUCGUCGGCAAUGGACGAAAGUCUGACCGAGCAACGCCGCGUGAGUGAAGAAGGUUUGCGGAUCGUAAAACGCUGGUGUUAGAGAAGCGGUAUCUAACCAGAAAGCCACGGCUAACUACGUGCCAGCAGCCGCGGUGAUUC
rnacentral:rRNA from 1 species